GACGAACGCUGGCGGCGUGCUUAACACAUGCAAGUCGAACGAUGAAGCAAAGAAUUGAAGCUUCGGCAGAAAUUCAUUUCGGAUUAGUGGCAGACGGGUGAGUAACGCGUGAGCAACCUACCUCUUACAAAGGGAUAGCCUCGGGAAACCGGGAUUAAUACCAUAUAACAUUGCGACGAAGCAUUUCGAUGCAAUCAAAGCUACGGCGGUAAGAGAUGGGCUCGCGUCCCAUUAACCAGAUGGUGAGGUAACGGCUCACCAUAGUAACGAUGGGUAACCGGCCUGAGAGGGUGAACGGUCACACUGGAACUGAGACACGGUCCAGACUCCUACGGGAGGCAGCAGUGGGGAAUAUUGCACAAUGGAGGGAACUCUGAUGCAGCGACGCCGCGUGAGUGAUGAAGGAAUUCGUUUCGUAAAACUCCGUUCUAUGGGAAGAAAAGGACUGUACCAUAGGAGAAAGCUCCGGCUAAAUACGUG
rnacentral:rRNA from 1 species